GUGCUCGGUUUGUAGGCAGUGUCAUUAGCUGAUUGUACUGUGGUGGUUACAAUCACUAACUCCACUGCCAUCAAAACAAGGCAC
rnacentral:pre_miRNA from 10 species